AGAGAUUCUGUCAACAACAAAUUGUACUUUUAUUAAGUUUUCUUAGGUUCUAAAAUGUCUCACUCCUUAACCCCCCUUUUUCCCUAUACACUCCUAACCUUUUGCCCCUCACCCUUAUCUCUCACAUCUCUCCUUUGUUUAACAUAAGUUGAUAGAGACACCCCCAAUGAUGACACCCCCACAUACUCCUCCAUAAACCCUUACCCUUUCUCCCCCUGCUGUGUUCAAAGCAGUUUCUCCUGUAUGUAAAGUCCUGCUAAAAUGUCUUAGUAGUUCAGUCAAGCUCAGUCUAGUUGAGUCACAGACAGUAACAGACAGACAAGUCACAUGGACUAGUCAGGCGGACACAGAGGGAGCAACGACCAACUAAGCUGUGCCCGUGUAGAUUUUCUGUCUGCACGAGAAUAAACUCAGGUCAUCUCUCAAGCUGUCUCCUGAUUCCUGAUUCUGACUCCUGAUUCCUGAAAGCCGAAUUUCUAACAACUUGGUGCCGUGACCCGGAUGGCCUACUGAAACCUACUUGAUCUGUUGGAGCCAGACAGUGCUCCAGCCAAUCCAGCAUGGCGAGAACAAUUUGUGACGUGUCGGACGCAAGCCUCAACAGUUGAAGAGACAACUGAUGUUCAAAGUGGACUUCCCAGAUUACCUGCCUUUCACCGACAUUGAAGCAAUCGCCAUGGACAUCCACACACACACACACGCACACACAAUGUGGCUGCUCAAAAGAGGAGAUGUGUGAUGUAAGAGGAGACAUCACCACAUGGGAGCAAGCCUCUUGGAAAACCAUGGACAACUACUGAAACUUUCUUCAUUAUUCUUCAGGAACAUUUUUGGGACCAAGUAACAGCCAUAAACAGAUCCAAUACUUGGUUACAUCAACUUUUCUGACAUUUAUGGUACAAUUACAGUUGUAUAGUUACAGCUCUUUAAUUGUUUAUACAUAUGACAAUUUAUUGUACAUAGUUUUGUGAUUCUCCAUGUUGGGAGAAUCAGAGG